rnacentral:rRNA from 1 species
CUUGCCGCCGGCGACCGGCGCACGGGUGAGUAACACGUAUGCAACCUGGCCGUGACAGAUGGAUAACCGGGAGAAAUCCCGCCUAAUACAACAUAAUGCCGGGAGGGGACAUCCCCUGCCGGCCAAAGGGGGCGACCCCGGUCACGGAUGGGCAUGCGGCGCAUUAGGUAGUUGGUAGGGUAACGGCCUACCAAGCCGACGAUGCGUAGGGGUUCUGAGAGGAAGGUCCCCCACAUUGGAACUGAGACACGGUCCAAACUCCUACGGGAGGCAGCAG